AGGCGUGUAGCUCAAUUGGCAGAGCGACUGACUCCAAAUCAGUAGGUUGCGGGUUCAAUUCCUGCCACGCCUG
rnacentral:tRNA from 1 species